UCAAUUCUUCGGGGCGAGGUGAAAUUCCUCACCGGCGGUAAUAGUCCGUGAAUGCGUUAGCAUUGAUUUGGUGAAAUUCCAAAACCGACAGUAUAGUCUGGAUGAGAGAAGGAUAGU
rnacentral:ncRNA from 2 species